UCAUAUUCCAAUGGAAUUGGGGAAAUUGAAUAAGCUUGAAGCAUUAGAUCUCUCUUGGAAUCGGCUCACUGGAAAGAUUCCGCAGGAAUUGACAAGGCUAACAUUUCUGGAAAAGUUAAACCUUUCUCAGAAUGUUCUCGUUGGACCAAUUCCUCACGUUCUACAAUUCAACACAUUUGUAAAAUAGACUCGUAUGGCGGUAACCUUGAUCUAUGUGGUCCUCCUUUAUCAAGCAAUGUGGAACGAAGUGAUCUAUCCCAUGUUCCUCAACCAUUGGAGUCUGAAGACGAGUCAUAUUUUUUUAGUGGAUUUACGUGGGAAUCAGUAGUCAUUGGCUACAGCUGUGGACUAGUUGUUGGAACUGUUGUGUGGAGCCUCAUGUUUAAAUAUCGUAAGCCCGAAUGGUUUGUCAAUUUUUUUGAAGGCAUUUAUCCCAAGAAAAUGAGAAUGUCAAUGAAGAGAGCUCAGAGACGACGGACUUAAUGGAAGAUUGCAGGAGUGGACUUUUCUGUUUUUUUAAUCUUCUUUUUGUUGUUUGUAUAUGCUUGAUAGCAAUAUAAUUGCAUGUAUUGUUUUGUGAAUUUCCACUGCAUUAAAAUUAGUGUUCUCCAAUCAAUAAUUCCUUUAGCAUAUAUAAAAAAAUUAAAACUCAAAAUAAGAACAAGAGGACAUAAAACAUAACUUUCCUUUGUACUAAAACAAUUUAUUCAAUUACAUUCUUGAGUUUAAGCAACUUCAACAUGUUUGAUAAUAUCAUCUGAUCAAAUAAUUUAUAUUAAAAAUGAUGGAUUUAAGAUCACUCAAAUCCUCUUAUAAAUUGAUUAUUGUAUAAUGGUGAUCCUCAUGCCUUCCCUUAAUUGAGAGAAUGAGCCAAAGUUGUCAUGACAUGAGCUUGAUCUGAAAUAAUUUGUGUAGUUGAAGGAUUUUGUCCCAAAACAAUAUAAUACAAUAACCAUCAUCAUAAUUAUCCAUUCCAUGUGCCAUUAGUUGCCAUACUAAACUUCCUCCCAUAUUGUUCCACCUUCUUUUGCCAAAUUAUACACAUUUCUAUAUACACUACUCAUAAAUAUAUCUCUUGAUCCUUGACCUCUACUAGACUUUCCAAAUUCAGCAAGCACUAAAGGUUUCUUUAAUAUAUUUCUUGCAUCUUCCCAAUGACUUGUUAUCCACUUUUCCAUCCACACCAAUUGUGCUUCAUCACUUUGUCCAGAUACCCUAUAACGAUCGCUAUAAAGAAAUAUUUAGACCUAUUUAAUGAAAACAUAUGAAAUUGUACGUAGAGAAAAGAUGUAAAAACUACCAUUGGUCAGUGUAUGCAUGGAUAGUAGCAAAAUCAAUCUCAUUGAUAAGAUGGUUACUAAUGAAAUCUGUUCCAACUUGAUAGCCAGGAUUAACUGAUUUUCUUUCAGGAAUUGAAUCACCAUAAAAUCCCUCCAUUCCAACCUCUAACAAGUGCUUGUUGUCUAAUGACUUCACAAAACUUGCCAUUUCUUGAACCCAAUAUUAGUCAUUUAACAAUAUUAGUCAAAAACGUCAAUCACAAAUUUGAUAUUUCUAAAAUUCAAUUAAUUAAACUUGAAUUGGGACUUACAUUAACAGUUUUUCCUGAAUAGUCAGCUUGAUCGCGAGGCUCAUUUAUGAGUUCCCAUGCCAUAAUUGUUGGAUCAUCUUUGUAAGCAACUUUAGUAAUACUAUUCAACCUUGUACCCACUUUCUGUAACAAUUUCAUAAUAUUAUUAAUAAAAAAAGUUGUUUAUAUGUAUUAAAUAAUAAUUACCCCAUAUAUUCCUCAAUAUGGUUCUUCAAGUAUUUUUUGAGCAUAGGAUGAGUAUAGAAUUCAUCGUCAUUACUAAUCUGAGCUCCUGCAUUUCGUGCCCACCAAACAUAUUGAGCUUUUCCUCCAAAAUCAUUCCAUUGAUUUACAAAGCUCAAGAUUAAAUGAACACCAUAUUUCUUAGCUUCCGCGAUCACAAAAUCCAAACCCUAAAUUUAGAACAAGUAUAUCUAAUCAAGGGACUGAUCACAUGCAUUACAACGCGAUAAUGUAAAAAAGUUAUCAAAACUAUAAUAACAAACGUCCUUUACCUGAAAAACACGUUCAUCAUAAACACCAGGUGAUAUUUGUAAUGCUCUAUCACCUCCAUCACUAAAAGCCCAAGUACGACAAACAGAAAGACCAGCGGUAGAAGCAUCUUUAAGAACCUCAGUGACUUUGUAUCUUUCAGUAGGGUCAGCAGAAACAUGCAUCAACCAAUAUGAGUUGAAACCAUUGAAUAGAAAAGGGGAUCCAUUGAGUUCAAAAUGAGAAUCUUUAACUCCUAUAACCCCGAAUUUGCUUCACAAGCAAGAGCUAAGAACAAGAGAAAGAGCCCAAAAAUGCAACUUCUUUUUGUAUAAGACAGUUUGUAUAAUGAAUUGUAGAAGAUAUAUGUGUGAUAUGUUAGAUGUCACCUUUUAUAGUGUGUUGAAGAUAAGGAAAUUUACUAAAAAUAGCAAAACUUGCAAAAACUAAAAAAAAUUCCUAGUGGAUAUAAUUGGAUAUUGAGAUUUUAUGAAAAAAUAUAUUUUUUAAGGCAGUUAUUUGGUUAAGAUAGAAACAGAGUUUUGUUGAAAAAUUUGUAUGGGAAGAAAAGAAGAAGAAAAAUAUGGAAACAUUAAUUGGUUAGUUUUUUUUAAGGUUUGUUCACUACUAGAUUUGAUGAUGAAAUAAUACUGAAACGUGUACUCAUAGUAUUUGAUAGUAAUAUACUUGAAUAUAUAAUGCAAAUACCUGAAGAACUCUUUCAUAAAUUUUAAUUUCUAUGUGGAUGUGUUAUGUGUGUAAUUUAAUCUUAUUUUAUUGCAAGGAAUUGAGACAAAAUAAAAAUAAAAAUAAAAAUAUUUUUAAAAAAAAGUUAAAAGAGAAAUGAAGAGGGCAUAACAUUAUUUGGGGUUAUUCGAAAUAAGAUGUUCUGACCACUUAUAAAAUGAAUAUGAAAAAAAUAACAUUUUAAAAUUUCUUAUGUCUAAAAAUUAAAAACUCUCGUAAAAAAUCAUAAAAUUAAAAUAAAAUAAAAUUGUAGUGGCCUACAAUUUACAGAAACUCAAUUUAUAUACUUGAUUAGAAUAUGGGUACUUUUAGUUCCAUUGUUUGAGAAGUGGAGAAAAGGAAUUUAGGAAGAUGCAUUCUUAAAGAAUAAGUGGAUUACUUAUUUAUUUUCUGACGUGAAUAAGUGAAUUUCUUACUUAUUUUUUGGUGUCAUAUUUAGGAUCUUUGAUGUUUAUUCUAUGCACAUUUGACAAAUUUCAUAGUCCAUAUGAGAGCGGCGACUAUCGCAUUGAGGACUAUAUGUCCCAAGUAUCGUUUUGGAUGAAGUAGUUACGAAUUUAAACUUAGAAUAUGCGAAUUUAAAAUAAGUGUGAUCUUAUUAUACAUGAAGGCGGAUGCAAUAAUUUAACUAUGAGUUCAGUCAAACUCAAUAUUUUUUUCACAUAACAUAUGUGUAGAAGUCAAAAAAACAAAAACAAAUAGAGAUUAUGUAUCCAUAAUUAAAAAGUACAAUUAGUUCAGUUUAAAUUCUAAAUUCAACCCAGAGUAUAUGUAUAUGGAGUGGAAGUUGAAAACAAUAUGUUCACUUCAACUCAGAACUCGCCCUGAAUCCGCCUCUGGAAGUAACCAAUUAUUCCAGGGCUAUGGAGGAAAAGUUGAAAAGAUUGUCCCCAAAAUACUAUUAUAUACCAAUAUAAAGUAAGAUUUGACUUAUACAGUAUAAUUUUCCGACGAAGAGUGCUCAGCUGACCACCCAGGAACCACCGUAGCUCUGCCCAUGGUCCUGAGAAGUAACCAUCUAUUCUAGGAGUUUGGAGGAAAAGUUAAAAACAUCAUCCCCGAAGCCUGGAUCAGUAAUAGUGAAAUCACAUGGCUGCUGCUGUUGCUGCAAAUUAUCAUCAGUGCAAAUACUGUAAUUCCCAAAUGGACUAGAUUGAAGUACAUUCUUCCACAUAUCACUAUUUUCUUGUUGUAUAUUACUAGUAUAUUUUGGUGUCGAUUCAUAAAAAUCGCUUCCAUCAAACAUCUUUAUUUGAGAAGUCUGGUGCACUAAGCUCUCGUUAUGUGUUCUAAAACAAAAAAAAUAAUUAGCUACGAGCUACUUCAUCCGUUCCUAUUUAGUUGUCCUGUUAGGCUAUUGUUUUACAGAAUUCUUAAGAAAAAAUUAGUUAGGAGUGUAAUUUGACUAAUAUAUAUCUUAUUAAUUUUUUAUCUUUAUUUAUUUCCAUAAAUAUCAUGUCAAGUCAAACGAUGCACCUAAAAUCGAACGAAAAGAGUACUUUUUUUUCUUGAUUUAUUGAAUUGAAAAAUAUUUAAAAAUAAUUAUUUUUAAUAUACACAACAACUAAACGAGACAGUAUUUAGCAAUGAACAAAUGACCAAAUUUGUAGCUAAUUUGGGGUCAUCAUUAGUGUUCAUAUCAGUCCAUUUAAGCUUAUCUUAGUUUUUAAUAAUAUAAGUACUUCAAAUACUCUAUAUCUUCGUGUAUAAAUCUCUUAACAAAAAAUAUAAUUUUCUAAUUAGGCAGCAUAAUUCACUAAGCAUUUCGAGUUCACACAGAAUUUGACAAAAAAUGACUCACUCCAACUCCUAAGUGGUGAGAUCUAAGCCACCUAUACCCUAAUACAAGGAUGUUCAUAAUACAAUUUUAUCGUAUCAUCAAAUUAAACAGUAUCACAUAAAAUAUAACGAAGAAAGUACUAAAAUUUGUAAUAAUUAUUUUACCUUUGUGUGUGAUUGAGCAAGGAAGUGCAAUUAGGACGAACAAAAGCAAGAGCAGCAGCAUCUCCAAAGGUAAAAUAAGAGGUGUCAAAUGGACGAGUCGAGAUGAAUUUUUGAAGAGUUUGUUGAGGAAGUAAGCAUUUUUUUGAUGCAGGACUAUUUAAUUCUUCAGGAGGAUGAGCAAAUGCUUUGUGAAAUAUAGCCAACAUUGUAUCUUUUUUUAGCUUCAAGAUGAAUAUCUAACAACAAUAUAAAAAAAAUGGUUACUGAAGGAGGAUAUAUAUAUAUAAUACACUUUUUACAUUAAUGUUUUUGUUUUUAUUUUUAUUUUUAUAGUAUAAUAAUAAUAAUAAAGGAGGCCAAAGAUGACAUAUGUCAAUUUUAUUUUGGAGUGAUAGUGUGACGUGACAAUGAUGAGGAUGGAUAAGGUUUCUCGUAUUCCCAUGAUGUCUUUAUCCAUUUAGAUUUUAUUAAGAAUUUUAAUAUGAAAUAAUCCAAACUAUAUUAAAUUGAAAAAAUAAUUAAAUCUAAAAAUAUCUCUCUUUAUCACAGUUUGAUUCAAAACUCAGUAUCACUAAUAGUUUAUCCAAAAAUGCUCUUUUCUUAUUUAAUGGAUUAUUUUUUUAAAAAAAAUAUGUAUAUAUAUUAUAUACUAUUAAACACAUUUUAUUUAUUAUAAAAUAAGUUAGUAAUAACUUUUUCUUAAGUCAAAAUAAAAAUAACAUGACUAAAUGUACCUUUUUUUUUUACUAAUAACAUAUAUAUUAUACAUUACAUUAUAUUAUAUCAUAUAUUAUAUUAAAUUAAAUUAAAUUAUAUUAUACAUUAGUAUAAGAGGCUAGAACACACAUGUUGACGAUGACAUGUGUGUUUCUUGGAAUUAAAUUUCUUAUUGAAGGGCAUUCUUGUAAUAUAGUAUUAAAAGAAUUUUAAUAAUUUUCAUAUAUUUAGAAAUUAUGUAAUUAAUAUUAUUAAUUAUAAUAAUUAGUAAUUUUUAAAAAAUAUAAAAAAAAUAUCAGUCAACUCUCAAAUUUUAUUGGUGUCACAUAAAUUGGGAUAAUAGAGUAAAAUUAUUUUUAAUAAUUUAUAUAUUUACAAAUUUUAUAAACUAUAAAUUGCAAUAUAAAUGUCUCUAAAUUUUUUUUUCGAUGAUUAAUAUAUUGUAUAGAAAUUCACAUUAUUUUUUAUUCCUUAUCUGUUUAGUUAUUAUUUAUUUCUCCAAAUAUUUUAUUUCUGAUUAUAGUUUUCUUUUUGUUAAGCUUUAUGUCAGCUGUGGAGGCGAGCCGAAUUAUUUUUUUCUAUAAAAAGGAAGAAAUUGAGCUUAAAACCACUUGAAGUGGGGCCAACAAGCUUUAACAAAUCUGUGGGUGCUUAUAAAAUGUUUAGCGGUCUAUAUUCAAAAUUAGAGGAUAUAAAUAUCAGCUGAAAUUAAAUUAAAUGAUAUUCAUUAUGUCUUUAAUUUAACACUAUUUUAUCCAUUCCAUAUUAGAUAAACACUUUCUAUACUAUAUAGUGAUUAAGAAAUCAUUAAUAAAUUGAUCAACUUUACUAUUUUAUCCUUUAUUCAUAUCAAUUCCUAUCAAAAUAAGUUAGAAAAAACCAUACAAAGAGUAUAGAAAUAACUAGUAUUGAGAAUUGUUCACAUUCAAAAGGCCAUAUUGAUUGUAAUUUGUAGUAAGUGAUUAAGUAAUAUAAGAUAACUAUUUUUAAUAAGAUCCUUAAUAAAAUCGGUUAUUAUUGAUAUCUUCUUUUCGGUUCCUUUUCCAUAAGUCCAUAACCAUUGCUCAGAAAAGAAAGAGAUAAGAAGACUAUGAAAAAUAUGCUCAGAAAUCCAUAAUACAAUCGGCCCAUAACGAUCAAAUUGAUUAUCUUCAUACUCAAAUCGAAGGAGUAUGAAAUUAAAAUAAUAUAUUUUUAAUUUCGAUUUACGUGACAUUGUUUAACUCAAUGUGAUUUUGAAAAAUAGAUUCUUUUUGUGAUCUAAUCAAUCAAUUGUAUGGAUUUAAAAAAUAGUUAAUAUUUGAAAUUUUGCAUGUGCCACAUAAAUUAGAACAAAGAGAGUAAUAAAUAUUAUUUUCAAAAUUCUGUAAAAAAAGGUACUACAAAUCACAAUAGCUAACAAUUUAAAAUAUUUUUACAAUCAUAUAAAAAUUUCAAUAACUUCUCAAAUUUCAUAAUAUAUGACAUAAGAAGAGGGAAUAACCAAUAUAUUUAUAAAAAUAAAUGACAUAUAAAAUGAAAUGGAGAGAGUAUUAGUUUUUGAAAAUGGAAAAGGACAAAACACAUAUAAAAUUAAAACACAUAUAAAAAACAAGUUGGUUUAACUCUCAAACAUAAAAAGUAACAUAUGUUAUUAAAAACUUUAAUAAAAAGUACUAUAAUUUACAAUAAAUAAUAACUUAAAAUAUCUACAAGAGAACAAAAAAAAGACUAAUUUUUGUACUGCUUGUGUCACAUAUAUUAGGAUUGGGAUGAUUUUAAAAUUUUAAUUUUGGUUAUACAUUAUAAAAUAGCCGAAAAAUUGAAUGAUAUAAUUUUUUUUAAAAUAACCGAAUGAAUCGUCCUAUCGAUAACCCUAAUGUUACUUCUACUCUGUUUAUUUUUACUUAAAUUUAGAAAGAUAUGCUUCAUUUCUACCCUCAAUCUUAUCGCUACAUUUAUUUGCUAUUUAAAAUUGAAAUUAAAAAGACAAAUGACAAAUAAGUUUCUAUAUUAGCUCACUUAUGAGCAAAAUAUAUUAUAACAAUCUUUACUAAUUUUAUAACAAUACAUAAACUAUACUCCCUCCGUCCCAUAUUAGAUGGGCACUUCCAACUUUACACGGUGAUUAAGAAAUCAUUAAUACAUUGGAAGACUUCACCAUUUUGCCCUUUCUUUAUAUCAAUGCACAUUGAAAUGAGUUACAAAAAAUACACAUACAAUAUAGGAAUGGUCAUAUUAAUUGUAGGGGUAAAAUGGAAAAGAAUUAAUUAAUUCUAUCCUAAUUUAAUAAGUGCUCAAAUAAUAUGAAAAAUAAAAAUUUAGUAAGAUUCUCAUCUAAUAUGGGACGGAGAGAGUAUUAGUUUUUGAAAAUGGAAAAGGACAAAACACAUAUAAAAUUAAAACACAUAUAAAAAACAAGUUGGUUUAACUCUCAAACAUAAAAAGUAACAUAUGUUAUUAAAAACUUUAAUAAAAAGUACUAUAAUUUACAAUAAAUAAUAACUUAAAAUAUCUACAAGACAACAAAAAAAAGACUAAUUUUUGUACUGCUUGUGUCACAUAUAUUAGGAUUGGAUGAUUUUAAAAUUUUAAUUUUGGUUAUACAUUAUAAAAUAGCCGAAAAAUUGAAUGAUAUAAUUUUUUUUAAAGUAACCGAAUGAAUCGUCCUAUCGAUAACCCUAAUGUUUCUUCUACUCUGUUUAUUUUUACUUAAAUUUAGAAAGAUAUGCUUCAUUUCUACCCUCAAUCUUAUCGCUACAUUUAUUUGCUAUUUAAAAUUGAAAUUAAAAAGACAAAUGACAAAUAAGUUUCUAUAUUAGCUCACUUAUGAGCAAAAUAUAUUAUAACAAUCUUUACUAAUUUUAUAACAAUACAUAAACUAUACUCCCUCCGUCCCAUAUUAGAUGGGCACUUCCAACUUUACACGGUGAUUAAGAAAUCAUUAAUACAUUGGAAGACUUCACCAUUUUGCCCUUUGUUUAUAUCAAUGCACAUUGAAAUGAGUUACAAAAAAUACACAUACAAUAUAGGAAGGGUCAUAUUAAUUGUAGGGUAAAAUGAAAAAGAAUUAAUUAAUUCUAUCCUAAUUUAAUAAGUGCUCAAAUAAUAUGAAAAAAUUUAUUUUAGUAAAAUUCUCAUCUAAUAUGGGACGGAGAGAGUAACAAUAUAACUUUAUUAAUGUUGGGCCCGGGCAGCGCCCGGGCUUUCUUUACUAGUAUAUAUAUAUAAAAUAAUGUAGUAGUAGUCUGUUAAAGACAGCUAACGUCAAGAUUGACUAGUGUUGAAAAUGCUAACGUAGGAGCCUGCGUCAUUUAUAUUCUUUGGACCCAUUUUUUAAUGAAUUAAUGAUUGGCUGCACUAUUAUAUAUAUUGAGGAUUUUUGCAUAUAUUAAAUUAGGAAAAACAGACAAAUAAUGGAAACUGAAGAAAAUAUUGUAAUUGUUGGUGCUGGCAUAGCUGGUCUUGCUACUUCUUUGGCCCUUCACAGGUAAUAAUGGUUGCUUCCUUCGUCUCAGUUUAUGUGAUAGUUUUCGAUUUUUAAAAGUCAAAUAAUUUAAGUUUGAUUGAAAAUUUGUGUAUGAAAUCCCCUACCGUAAAAAGUACUAUAAAUCACAAUACUUGAUAAUUCAAAAUGUUUAAAAGAUCUAUGAAAAACUUAUGGUUAAAGAUACUCUUGUUUGAAUCUCGAAAUAUGAAAAGUGCCACGUAAAAUAGGAUAGGGAUAGUAUUAUAUUUCGUGUAUAUACUUGUUCAAUAAUCACAUGAUCUACUUCCAAAAGUUUGAUUUCUCAUAUCAUAAUACAAAAAUAUGCCUUGAUCUCAUGAACAUUUAUGCUCUUCAAUUUUGGAUGUGCAUAAGCAAACAUUUAAACUAUCUAUAAGUUAAAUAAGUAGACACACGUCCUAUGUGACAUAAUACACAUAGGAUGCAGAACUGCCACGUAGGAUGCCACACGGGACACGGGCGUUUACUUGUUCAACUUUUGAAUAGUUUAAGUUGUCUAUUUGUACACACUCAAAGUUGGAGGACAUAGAUGCUAGUUUGGGUCAGGUUAGAUGAUACAUUUAUGCAUUAGGCCUUUCUAGAAUAUGAUUUUUCUGGUAUAAUAGCUAUUAGUUGAGUGACGAUUUGAGAAAUAACUCGGCGGAAGGCGUGUCUUGUAUGUAAUAUGUAGGUUGGGGCUGCGGAGUAUUGUGUUGGAAUCAACAGAUUCGUUGCGAGCUACUGGAUUUGCAUUGGCGUUGUGGACUAAUGCCUGGAGAGCUUUGGAUGCAUUGGACAUUGGGGACUCUCUUAGACAACGUUCCUUAUCCAUUACUGGGUAUACCUCUUUAUUAUUAGUUAGGAUUUAGGAUUACUAACAACUUGAAGUUCAAUUUCGGAUUUUUAUGGUCAAAUGUGUUUUCCGGAGUUCUAGAUAUGGAAGAAAGUUGAAAAAUUGAUUGUCCAAAAUGCGUUCGAGUUGAUGUGCAGGCUUAAAAGUUUCUCAGCGGAUUCAGGUGCACCUAUCAAGGAGGUAUCAUUUGUGGGGAAUAACAGGUUAGCAUUAUAUCAAUUUUCGUAUUAGUUGGGGUCGGUUAUAUAAGUCCUUUUAUCUAUUCAUUUUAUGUAUGUUCAUUUUGUUCUAAAACAUAAUAAUUUAGUUUGAGAGACAAAUUCGAAAUUUCUCUAAAAUUAGAGGUUCUUUGAGUAUUGCAAUCUAUAUAGAGAUGUAUAAAUUUCUAACCAUCGAUAUAAAGACUCCUCACAAAGGUCGAAGUAAUGCAAGUACUGGUAAGAACAGCUAAUGUAUUUAACUUCUGGUUCUCACAGCAUCGAUCUUUGUAGAGAACAAUCACAUCUGUUUACGAAGGACUUAAGUGUGAAUCAAGGAUGCUGCAUACCGAAUUUUCUGAAUUGUUCACUAGUACUGAAUUGAUGUGGUUUUGUAUGUCUUUCUUCUGACUAUUGGAUGGACUGAUCAUUCGUCAGCCAACAUUUCUCUUUUUGAAGUCAAUAGUCAUCUAAGGUCAGUUAUAUUACGUUGCAGUGUGGAGUAUGAAAGUCGUUGUGUGAGAAGAAAAGAUCUGUUGGAGACAUUAGCUAAUGAACUGCCUCAAGGUGUGAUUAGAUAUUCUUCCAAAGUCGAUUCCAUUGAAGAAUCUGGACCAUUGAAAUUGGUACAUCUUGCAGAUGGUUCCACUAUUAGAACCAAGGUAAAUCUUUCUCUGAAAUUCUUAACUUGGAAUCCCUAUUAUUGGAAACUUCAACCAACGUGAUAAUUCAAACGUGUAUUUGACCAUUUAUCUCAAUUCCUUUCGUUAGUCUAGCUAGUACGUGACUAACUUUGUUAAGCUUCAAUUAAGGCCUUAAUUGGGUGUGACGGAGUCAAUUCUGUGGUGGCAAACUGGCUUGGGCUUCAGAAACCUGUCUAUUCUGGGCGCUCUGCAAUUAGAGGCUUUGUUGAGUAUCCGGAAAAACAUGGUUAUCAGCCUAAGUUCCACGCGUAUUUUGGAGGUGGAGUUCGGUUUGGAUUUCUUCCUAGUGAUGAGAAGAGUUUGUACUGGUUUUGCACAUUCACACCAUCUGUUGUUCAUUGUAAGCCAGCACCUACAUACUGUUUCUUUUGAAGAUUUACUUUUCGAAGGAUAUUUUUGUUGGCUAGAGAGCUUACCUCUCUGAAAGGGGAGCCUUGACGUAAUUGGUAAAGUUAUUGUCACGUGACCUAGAGGUUGCGGAUUUGAGCUGUGGAAACAGCCUCUUGCAGAAAUGCAGGGUAAGACUGCGUAUAAUAGACCCCUGUGGUCCAGACCUUCCCCGAACCCUGUACAUAGUGGGAGCUUAGUGCACCGAGCAGCCCAGAUAGCUUACAUUUCAUAAACUAGUCAUGUUUAGUUGUUCAUUUUAAUUGGGAUUUUAUGCAGUUGAUGGAAAUGCAGAACAAGAUCCAAUGAAAUUGAAGCAAUUCGUGUUGAACAAGGCUAGUAAUGUGUCUAAAGAACUCUCCACCGUUAUAGAGAGAACAACGCUCGACUGUAUAUCUGUCGCUCAGCUGAAAUUGAGAUUGCCAUGGAAUGUUCUGUUUGGGAAUAUUUUGAAAAAUAAUGUUUGCGUGGUAGGUGAUGCACUUCAUCCCAUGACUCCUGAUCUUGGUCAAGGUGGAUGUUCGGCUGUAGAGGACAGUGUUGUUAUCGCAAAGUGCCUUGGAGAAGCCUUGAUAAAACCGAUAACAGAACAAGAAGACGAUGAAUCUAUGAAUAUUAGGAAAGGACUCGAGAAGUAUGCUAAAGAGAGAAGAUGGAGAAGUUUUACAUUUAUCAGUGCUGCUUAUUUAUCUGGUUUCAUACAAGAGAGUGAUAACAAGAUAAUCAGUUUCUUAAGACAACAUUUUUUGGCUGGAGUCACUAUAUCAGUUACACUAAGAAUAGCUAACUUUGACUGCGGAAGACUAGCUGUUUCGUAGUAGCUCAGUUGGUUGGCUAUCUAAACUUUUACGUUAUUGGUGAGUGUUCGAUUCUCCACCUUGUAAUCACCUCUCCCUACUCCCCAUUUGCCUUUUUUUAUUUCUUUUUCAAAAAGCACAUCCCUUGAACCUCUAUGGUAGUAAUAAACAUGCAUGUCAAUUGCUUGAUUCACUCUCCACGCUUUUGAUGUUGUGAUCCCAUUCUUCUGAUUGAAAUAAUGUAAAAUGAACAAGAACUUAAAAUUGCCUAAUUAAGUAAGAGUUGAUUUUAGUUAGGCAGCACAACCCAAAUUAAUUUUACAUUUUGACAACUAAUUAAUCUCUACCAUGUGACAUGUUUAAGACUAUACCAUUUAUUCGACCUAAAUGGUAAGUAUGAUUCUCCUGUCUUCCAGUUGAAUGCAAAGCAAUCAACGAUAGGUUUGAGUAUCCAAAUUUAACUUAUAUAUACUAAGUCCACCUGGCUGAUCACACAUAAAGUCCACUAUCAGUAUAAUAGGUGACAAGUUGUUUGCCUUGAUUUCACAAAGAGUCACCCAUAAUUACUUUUACACAACUCGAUAAGUGAAAAAAUAUUAUUAUUAAUUUACAGUGAUUUUAAAGUUUUUUGUCCUGUCCACCUGGCUGAUCACACAUAAUAACACAGGCAGAUCUAGUGAAGAAGCUAUGAGUUCAUUCGAAUUCAAUAGCUUUGGUUUAGAUUCCUUAUGUGCGUUAAAAAGAAGAAGGUAGAGUAGUAUUGUUAUUAAAGGAAUAAAUGAAUUAUACAUUUUUCGACUUUCCAAGAUUAUCUUAGAUUAAGAAAUUCCCAAAUAAAUGGUUGUAGUGUUAUCAUAUUGUAAGUAUAUAUUUAAAGGUAGGGUAAGAUCCAUAUACACACACUACUCUUCCCUGACCGCACUUGUGGAAUUACACUAGGUAAGUUGUUGUAGCUGUUCGUGUGAUUUAGUUGUUGUGAACGACUAUAAAAGUUGGUUGUUAUGUGUACAUACUUGACACUACCCUUUUUUGUUAUGUGUAACACAUGUUUCUGUCUUUUAUGUCAGGAAAGUUGGUUCAUUGUAUGUCUCAAGUUCACAUUUCUGCUUUCUCUGUCGACCACUAGUUUUUUAGAAGAUUUUUCUGCAGUGUGUGUUACACAUGGUGUAAUCUUCAACACUGAUAUGGUGUGUGUAUAUAUAUAUUAGUAUAUGAUGAUUGAUUUUGCAAGAACAUCUUAUUAUUUGCUGAAAAUAAGCAAAAGAAGAUGGGACGUCUCUUUUUCUUUCAUUCACUUGUCUGUUUUUUGUUGGUAAUUAGUGAAAGCAUUUCUUCUUCCUCUGUGAUGAUGCAUCAUGUUUGCUCUCCCACUGAAGCUUUUGCUUUGCUUCACUUCAAACAAUCCUUUCGAAUCUCUGACCAACCUAGCUGUUGGGUUGAGACUCAUCUGCAAUAUGAGAGCUAUGAUAUCCCAAAAACAAAAUCUUGGAAUGAGAGUAGGGAUUGCUGCAGUUGGGACGGCGUAACUUGUGACAUGUUAACCAGUCAUGUUAUCGGAUUGGACCUUAGUUGCAGUCUGCUUAAUGGAGCUGUUCAUCCCAAUAGCAGCCUCUUCCAACUCCAUCAUCUCCGGACACUAAACCUUGCUUACAAUGACUUCAAUUCUUCUUCAAUCCCACAUAACAUUGGCCGAUUGAUGAAUUUGAGGCAUCUCAACCUUUCUCAUUCUUUCUUUGAAGGGGAAAUCCCAACAGAAAUCUCAUACCUUUCCAAUUUGGUUUCACUUGAUCUUUAUUGUGAUUACUGUGGUCUCCAACUUGAUGAGAGAACAUUUGAAACAAUGCUUCAGAACUUCACAAAUCUAGAGGUACUAUCUCUCCAUGGUGUCAACAUCUCAUCUCCAUUACCUGUGAAUAUUUCUUCUUCCUCCUUAAGGUACGUGGAUCUUGAACGUACUAAUCUGCGAGGUGUUCUCACAGAGAGCUUUUUCCUUCUGCCAAAAUUGGAAAUGCUCUAUUUGAAUUACAAUGAUCUUCUCAAAGGAGUUUUACCAAAGAUCCACCCGAGCAACACUCUGUUGGAGUUGGAUAUUUCCUACACAGGAAUCUCCGGUGAGCUGCCUGAUUCCAUUGGCAAUCUUACACAAAUUAGGUAUUUGGAUUUCAGUAAUAAUCAUUUCACCGGCCAUAUUCCUUCCACAAUCUCUAAAUUGAAGCACCUCAGAUAUCUAAAGUUUUCGUCCAACUCCUUUCCAGGUGAAAUUCCCAAUAUUUUUUCUAACCUCAGAGAGCUACGUUAUUUAUAUCUUUAUAGAAAUAGUUUCAUCGGUUCGUUUCCUUCUACAAUUGUAAGCUUGACACAUCUUCAAGAGUUAGACUUGUCAAGUAAUUCCCUAUCUGGCCCACUGCCUAAUAAUUUUAGCAUGCUUCAAAGGCUAACCCAACUGGAAUUGUCGUACAACGCACUGAAUGGUACCAUACCAUCUUCGGUCUUUAGCCUCCCUUUGCUAUCUUCAUUGUCGCUCCAACAUAAUCAAUUUAGUGGACUACCCGAUGAGUUCAAAACAAACCCAACAUUAGAACACCUAGAUUUAAGCCAUAAUCAACUCAGUGGUUCUUUUCCUCAGUCACUUGCGAGUCUCACAAACCUUUCUACCCUCAUCCUUUCAUCAAAUAACAUCACCGUCGAUGAGGGAAUACAAAUCACUUUUCCUAGCCUAGAAGAUUUGCGGUUAUCAUCUUGUGAACUGAAGGAUUUUCCACACUUCUUGACAAAUGUAAAGAAACUUCAUGUCUUGGAUAUUUCUAACAAUAAGAUUCAUGGCCAAAUCCCAAACUGGUUUAGCGGCAUAAGGUGGGACGACUUGUACUACCUGAAUCUUUCGCAUAAUUCUUUAACAGGCCACCUACAACAAUUUCAUUUCCAUAAUCUAUGGUAUCUUGAUCUUAAAUUUAACUCCCUUCAGGGUCCACUACCUUCAUCCAUUUGUAACAUGAACAAUCUUCAAUUUCUAGAUUUAUCACGCAACGACUUCAGUAACUCGAUUCCAAGUUGCUUGGGAAGCAUGUCUAGUCUAACAGUGUUGAACUUAAGAAGGAACAAUUUCACUGGGAGUCUUCCAUCGUUAUGUGCGCAGAGCACUUCAUUGAGAACCAUUGUCUUGAAUGGUAAUCAAUUUAAAGGAACUCUCCCUGUGUCGUUGCUCAACUGUAGUGAUUUAGAAGUUCUUGAUAUGGGGAAUAACGCUAUAAAUGACACAUUUCCAGCUUGGCUAGGAACACUUCAACAACUGCAGGUCUUAAUAUUAAAGUCCAAUUGUGUUCCAUGGACCAAUUAGUACUUGUCAGACUACGUUUUGCUUUCCCAAGUUGCGAAUUUUUGAUCUUUCGCGUAACAAAUUCAGUGGCUCACUCCCUGCAAAAGUUUUUGGAAACUUCAAGGCAAUGAUUAAAUUAGAUGGUGAAGACACAGGAGAGAUCGAGUACAUGGAAGCAUCUAUGAUGUCAUAUGAUGAUUCUGUGAAUUUGGUGAUCAAAGGGCAGGAUAUUGAGCUAGAAAGAAUCAGCACAAUUAUGACAACCAUAGACCUCUCGUGUAACCAUUUUGAAGGUGUCAUUCCGAAAACACUAAAGGAUCUCAGCUCACUUUGGCUACUCAAUUUAUCCCAUAACAAUCUCAUAGGUCAUAUUCCAAUGGAAUUGGGGAAAUUGAAUAAGCUUGAAGCAUUAGAUCUCUCUUGGAAUCGGCUCACUGGAAAGAUUCCGCAGGAAUUGACAAGGCUAACAUUCUGAAAGUAAACCUUUCUCAGAAUGUUCUCGUUGGACCAAUUCCUCACGUUCUACAAUUCAACACAUUUGAAAAUGACUCGUAUGGCGGUAACCUUGAUCUAUGUGGUCCUCCUUUAUCAAAGCAAUGUGGAACGAGUGCUCUAUCCCAUGUUCCUCAACCAUUGGAGUCUGAAGACGAGUCAUAUUUUUUAGUGGAUUUACGUGGGAAUCAGUAGUCAUUGGCUACAGCUGUGGACUAGUUGUUGGAACUGUUGUGUGGAGCCUCAUGUUUAAAUAUCGUAAGCCAGAAUGGUUUGUCGAAUUUUUGAAGGCAUUUAUCCCAAGAAAAUGAGAAGGUCAAUGAAGAGAGCUCAGAGACGACGGACUUAAUAGAAGAUUGCAGGAGUGGACUUUUCUGUUUUUUUAAUUUUCUUUCUGUUGUUUGUAUAUGAUAGCAAUAUAAUUGCAUGUGUUAUUUUGUGAAUUUCCACUGGAUUAAAUUAGUGUUCUUGAUCUUUGCUUUCAAACUAAAAAUUAAACUCAAAAUAAAAACAAGAGGACAUAAAACAUAACUUUCCUUUUUACUAAAACAAUUUAUUCAAUUACAUUCUUGAGUUUAAUUAAUCAACUUCAACAUGUUUGGUAAUAUCAUCUCAACUAAUUAAUAUUAAAAAUGAUGGAUUUAAGAUCAUUCAAAUCCUCUUAUAAAUUGAUUAUUGUAUAAUGGUGAUCCUCAUGUCUUUUCACUCAAUUGAAAGAAUGUGCCAAAGCUGUCAAGACAUGAGCUUGAUCUGAAAUAAUUUGUGUAGUUGAAGGAUUUUGUCCCAAAACAAUACAAUAACCAUCAUCAUAAUUCUCCAUUCCAUGUGCCAUUAGUUGCCAUACUAAACUUCCUGCCAUUGUUCCACCUUCUUUUGCCAAAUUAUACACAUUUCUAUAUACACUACUCAUAAAUAUAUCUCUUGAUCCUUGACCUCUACUAGACUUUCCAAAUUCAGCAAGCACUAAAGGUUUCUUUUAUAUAUUUCUUGCAUCUUCCCAAUGACUUGUUAUCCACUUUUCCAUCCACACCAAUUGUGCAUCAUCACUUUGUCCGGACACCCUAUAACAACGAUCGAUAUAAAGAAAUAUUUAGACCUAUUUAAUGAAAACAUAUGAAAUUGUACGUAGGGAAAAGAUAUAAAAACUACCAUUGGUCAGUGUAUGCAUGGAUAGUCGCAAAGUCAAUUUCAUUGAUAAGAUGGUUACUAAUGAAAUAUGUUCCAACUUGAUAACCAGGAUUAACUGACUUCCUUUCAGGAAUUGAAUCACCAUAAAAUCCCUCCAUUCCAACCUCUAACAAGUGUUUGUUGUCUAAUGACUUCACAAAACUUGCCAUUUCUUGAACCCAAGCUUAUAACAAUAUUUGUCAAAAACGUCAAUCAUAGAUUUGAUAUUUCUAAAAUUCAACUUGAAUUGGGACUUACAUUAACAGUUUUUCCUGAAUAGUCAGCUUGAUCGCAUGGUUCAUUCAUGAGUUCCCAUGCCAUAAUUGUUGGAUCAUCUUUGUAAGCAACUUUAGUAAUACUAUUCAACCUUGUAACCACUUUCUGUAACAAUUUCAUAAUAUUAUUAAUAAAAAAUGUUGUUUAUAUGUAUUAAAUAAUAAUUACCCCAUAUAUACCUCAAUAUGGUUCUUCAAGUAUUUUUUGAGCAUAGGAUGAGUAUAGAAUUCAUCGUCAUUACUAAUCUGAGCGCCUGCAUUUCGUGCCCACCAAACAUAUUGAGUUUUUCCUCCAAAAUUGUUUCAUUGAUUUACAAAGCUCAAUAUUAAAGGAACACCAUAUUUCUUAGCUUCCGCGAUCACAAAAUCCAAACCGUAAAUUCUUAAGAAAAAACAGUUAGCUACGAGCUACUCCAUCUGCUCCUAUUUAGUUGUCAUGUUAGGCUAUUGUUUUACACAACUCUUAAGAAAAUAUUAGUUAGGAGUGUAAUUUGACUAAUAUAUCUUUUUUUUUUAGUCUUUAUUUAUUUCUCUUCUCUAAAUUCGAAAAUAAAUACUUUUCUUUUUAAUCCGUCCCAAAAAGAAUGUUACUUUACUAGAAAUAAUUUAACUUUAAAAUACCAUUUUUACCCCUAAUGAAAUGAUUUUCAACACCAGAAAUAUCUAAAAAUUAUUUUAGACCACAAAUGUAACAUCCGACAAUUUAAAAUGAAUAUGAAGAAGCUUGAAAUUGGAAGUAGUCAUUUUUUUGAAAAAUUCAGAAUCUGGAAAUUUGGCUAAAUUCAAAAUCUGGAAAUUUGGCUAAGUGUGGAAAUCAGUGAGUUUUUGGCCAACUUGGAGUAGUCAUAAAUCCUAGCUCAAGCUGAGCCAAAAGUAGUUCCAGUUAUGUUUGGAAAGCCCUUGGAAUGAUCUUUCCAACGCCACCGAGUUUGCUCGAUUCCGAGUUCGUAUGAGCGAGUUAUGCCCUUUGAAAGUUGGGCAGUUGGCGGGGAGUCCAUCCGGAAAUUUAAGGGCAUUUUGGUCUUUUCACAAAUCAUUUCUUUUGAGGUUAUAUUGUUGUGUUAGGCUGAUUGUGGAUCAUUUUUGUUCCAUUUUAAAAAGAGUAAAAGUUAGGGUUCUUGAGUGAAGAAGAGAAGAAGAGAGAAAGAAGAAAAGAAGAAGAGGAGAUCAAGGAGAUUCGUCAAGAUCAUCGUGGAUUUUCGUCGGGGGUGAUCCCUAUCAAAGUAUGUGAGUCUUUAGUGUGGGUUGAUCCUUUCCCCCCACACACCAAGCUCAUUUUUAUGAUUUGAGAAAAGAUUGGAUUUGUUGUUGAAGUUGUUGAAGUUGUUAGUUGUGUUGUGGAAGUUAUUGUUGGUUGUGGGACAUGAUUUGGUUGUGUUCUUAAGUUGAAUCUCUUGUAUGUUGAGGGAUUUUAUCAUCCUUAGUAUUGGUUGGUUCAUACCUCCACACACCAACUCGUUUUUAAUUCCAAGAAAAGAUUUAUUUUGGUUGUUGAAGUUGUUGGUUGUGUUGUUGAAGUUCUUGCUGAUUUGGGACAGGAUUUGGUUUGUGUUUUUGAGUGGAAUUCACUGUAUGUUGAGGGGUUUAUGACCCCAAGUGUUUGGGAAAAAAACCUUUGAAGUUAAGAGGGUUUAGAGUUGGCAACAUGAAGGAGAAAAGUCAGGCUGCUUUCAGGAAACAAGUCUGCGUUGCAGCUGUGUUCCCUCUGUGAACAGAAUCUGAUCUGUUUUCAGAAUUUAAUUUCGAAAUUCUUCUUAAGUUUAGCUGUCCUAAAUUAUUCCUAAUCAUCAUGGGGUCCUUCCAAACACAAAUCAUUACUCUUGAAUUCAUAAUCCAAUUCAAGGAGAGUUAGUUCCAAGUCAAGUAAAGUUAGAAGUCAAGUGAUGUUAAGAGUUAAGCUUAGAAGUGAAGUAAGUCAAAUCAAGUUUUCAAAGUUGUUCAAGAGUCUUUAGUGAAUGUUUUAGCUUCAUUUUUUAAGACUCGAGUUUUCAAGUCAAGUCAAAAGUAUUGAGUUUCAAGUCAAGUCAAAAGUUAAGAGUUUCAUGUUAAGUUAAGAGUUUCACAUCAAGCCAAGAGUACAAGUAAAGUAAAGAGUUUUAAGUUGAGUUCAUUUCUCAAAGUUAUUAGGGAACUAUGUAUUCCCAAAGAAGUUUUAAAGAAAUGUCUUUACAUUUNNNNNNNNNNNNNNNNNNNNNNNNNNNNNNNNNNNNNNNNNNNNNNNNNNNNNNNNNNNNNNNNNNNNNNNNNNNNNNNNNNNNNNNNNNNNNNNNNNNNNNNNNNNNNNNNNNNNNNNNNNNNNNNNNNNNNNNNNNNNNNNNNNNNNNNNNNNNNNNNNNNNNNNNNNNNNNNNNNNNNNNNNNNNNNNNNNNNNNNNNNNNNNNNNNNNNNNNNNNNNNNNNNNNNNNNNNNNNNNNNNNNNNNNNNNNNNNNNNNNNNNNNNNNNNNNNNNNNNNNNNNNNNNNNNNNNNNNNNNNNNNNNNNNNNNNNNNNNNNNNNNNNNNNNNNNNNNNNNNNNNNNNNNNNNNNNNNNNNNNNNNNNNNNNNNNNNNNNNNNNNNNNNNNNNNNNNNNNNNNNNNNNNNNNNNNNNNNNNNNNNNNNNNNNNNNNNNNNNNNNNNNNNNNNNNNNNNNNNNNNNNNNNNNNNNNNNNNNNNNNNNNNNNNNNNNNNNNNNNNNNCCCGGAUCAGCAUCCUGCACGUCGUUGAUCCAGCUGAGCACUCCAGAGUCAGUGGUGAGCCUCCUUGCAUUCCGGAGGACUCAAUUAUUUUGUGUUCUUAGUUUUUGUUUUAUUAGGAUGUUGCGGGGUCUGUCCCAACAUCCAUCUCAGUAUUUUAGAGGCUUCAUAGACAGACAAUCAGUCAGUUAGUUUUGAGUCUCUUAUCUAUGUAUAUAUGUAAAUAUUCUAUUUUGAGAUUCGAGUUGCCUUUAUGGCCAUAUUUUAUAAGUUAAGUUGUUUUGUAAUAUUGCAUUGCAUUGAGUUAUUCUGUUGGGUUAGGUUUCCGCUGAGUUAAGAAAGCCAGGCCAAGGGUUCGCUUGGGGCCAGAAAUGGUCUCCGGGUGCCGGUCCCGCCCAGGGUGUAGGCUCGGGGCGUGACAACAAAUUUCAAUAGUCUUCAUUUUUUUUCUUAAAUGUCAUUUCAAAUCAAACAGUUUCACAUAAAAUCAAACGAAAAGAGUACUUUUUUUCUUGAUUCAUUAAAUUGAAAAAUAUUUUAAAAUAAUUAUUUUUAAUAUACACGACAACUAAACGAGACGAUGUAUUUAGCAAUGAACAAGUGACCAAAUUUGUAGCUAAUUUGGGGUCAUCAUUAGUGUUCAUAUCAGUCCAUUAAUUAAGCUUGUCUUAGUUUUUAGUAAUAAUAUAAGUACUUGAAAUACUCUUGAAAUAUACACGAAGGUGUAUAAAUCUCUAACAAAAUAUAUAAUCUACUAAUUAGGCAGCAUAAUUCAUUAAGCAUUUCGAGUUCACACAGAAUUUGACAAAAAUGACUCACCCCAACUCCUAAGGGGUGCGAUCUAAGCCACCUAUACCCUAAUACAAGGAUAUUCAUAAUACAAUUUUAUUGUGUCAUCAAAUCAAACAGUAUCACAUAAAAUAAAAUGAAGAAAGUUCUAAAAAUUUGUAAUAAUUAUUUUACCUUUGUGUGUGAUUGAGCAAGGAAGUGCAAUUAGGACGAACAAAAGCAAGAGCAGCAGCAUCUCCAAAGGUAACAUAAGAGGUGUCAAAUGGACGAGUCGAGAUGAAUUUUUGAAGUGUUUGUUGAGGAAGUAAACAUUUUUUUGAUGCAGGACUAUUUAAUUCUUCAGGUGGAUGAGCAAAUGCCUUGUGAAAUAUAGCCAACAUUGUAUCUUUUUUUUUCGUCUUCAAGAUGAAUAUCUAACAACAAUAUAAAAAAAAUGGUUACUAAUGAGAGUAUAUAUAAUAAACUUUUUACACUAAUGUUUUUAUUUUUAUUUUUAUUUUUAUAGUAUAGUAUAAUAAUAAUAAUAAUAAGGGAGCCUAAAGAUGAAAUAUGUCAAUUUUAUCUUGUAGUGAUAGAGUGUGACGUGACAAUGAUGAGGAUGGAUAAGGUUUCUCGUAUUUCUAUGAUGUCUUUAUCCAUUUAGAUUUUACUAUAAUAUUUAUACCAAAAAUUUUUAAUUUAAACUAUAUUAAACUGAAAAAAUAAUUAACUUAAUUUAACAAUAUCUCUCUUUUAUGAUAGUUUGAUUCAAAACUAUCAGUACCAUAAUAUUAAUAGGUUAUCCAAAAAUGCUCUAUUCUUAUUAUGGUGUGUGUCUAUAUAUAUAUAAUAUUAAUAACAAUAAUCAAUAAUUUAAAUAAUAUAUCAAAAACUUACCAUCAAUUUUUUAAUUUUAUUUGUGUCACAUAAAUUGAGACAAUGGAGUAAAGAGUAAAGACAUAUAUUUACAAAUUUUGUUUAAAAAACUAUAAAUUGCAAUAUAAAUUGAAAUCACAAAUUUUAAAAAAAUAUUUUUAAAUUUUGACGAUUAAUAUAUUGUAUAGAAAUUCACAUUUUUUUUUAUUAAUGUACAUAAGUCAUAUCCUUAUCCAUAUAGUUAUUUUUCUAUUUAUUCCUCCAAAUAUUUUCUUUCUGAUUAUAUUUUCUUUUGUUAAGCUUUAUGUCAGCCAGCCGAAUUGUUUGUUCUAUUAAAAGAAGAAAAAGAAAUUGAGCUUUUUACCACUUGAUAUGGGGCCAACAAGCUUUAACAAAUCUGUGGGUGAUUAUAACAAUUUAUUUGAUGGUAUUAGGGUCGUGCAAAAAUCAAUUUAAUUAAUAAAGUGAAUUGAAAAAUAAUAUUAAUUUAUCGAAAUUGAAUUGUUGAAUUUACAGAAAAGAAUUAAAAUUGCUCAUGAAUUAUAUAAAAUAGAUCACUUAUAUCUUUUAUUAUAUGUUGAAAUAAAAAAUAUUUUCGCCGUUAGUGAUGUGGCAAAACCAGGUGGACUAAUUCUCCAACCCAAGUAUUGUGAACUAGAAUUUACUUAUAAAAACUGGAUCUUUAGUGGCAAUAACUAUAAUCUCUCACUAUUUGCAAAAGCAUAUUACUCAUUUUUGUUCUAAUUUAUGCAAUAUUUUCAAAUUGUUUUUUUAAAGUUUAAUUGAAUCAAUUUUAUUUAAUAUUCAUAUUCUAUUUAACGUAAGACAUGUUAUAUAACAUUGCUUGGAUUCCUACUUUUGCUAAAAAAAUAAAAUUAAUUAGGGAUGAAAUAUCGAAUCUUCAUCAAUAAGGUGAGAGUUUAAGUAAUCAACCAACUGAGUUACUAAGGUUAGAAUUCAAUCGAUAUUAUUACAUUAUUUAACUCUUUUAAAACCUUUAUAUUUAGUUUGUUGGUUGCCAAAAUAUUUAUGCUACGGUUUCACUCUUUAUUGCCACGCGUCAUUUUUUAUUGGCUGUGUCAUCAUUGAUACAAUUGUUUGUUUAUUUAAAAUAUUGUACUAUUAUAUUUGUUGGUUGGAUCUAUUAUUAUUAUUUUUUGGCCUCAAUUGAUAUCUAUGUUCUUUAAUUUUAAAUGUACAUAAAUAGAUAUUUAUAUUUGUGUACUCGCAGACACAUACAUUUUACUUGACGUUUUAUAUGACAGUUCACAUCUUACGUAAUGCCCAAUAUAUAUAUAUAUAUAUAUAUAUAUAUUAUAUCAUGUAGAAUGCAUAUAUUUUAUUUAUUCAACUUUAUACUAGUUAAAAUGAUUAUUUGUGUACAUCCAAAGUAAUUGAAGGACAUAAAUGCCAGCUGAAACUAAAUUAAAUGACAUAUUUAUAUAAUAUAUCUUUUAAAUUUAACAUUACUCCCUCUCAUCUAAUGUUAAAUGGACACCUUCUAUAUUACACAGUGAUUAAAAAUCAUUAAUAAAUUAAUCCAUUUUGCUAUUUACCCUUUGUCCAUAUCAAUGUUUAUAAACAUAAGUUGGAAAAAAUAUACACAGAAUAUAGAAACAUAUUUGAAAAAAUAAUACUCUGUUCAUCUUUACUUGUUCAAUAUUUUCGCUACAGAACCCUUUCAAGAAUGACGCUCUACAAAAUUUCAUACCCUAUGCUCGAAUUUAAAAUCUCUGAUUAACGGGUGAAAUAGUCCUACAACUACACCACGUUGAUAUAUGAUAUAUAUAAUAAUGUAGUACUAGUCUGUUUAAGUUAAAACAUCCGUCAAUGGCGGCUAACGUCAAGAUUGACUAAUGUUGAAAAUGCUAACGUAGGAGCUUGCGUCAUUUAUAUUCUUUGGACCCAUUUGUUUAAUGAAUAAUGAUUGGCUGCACUAAUAUAUAUAUUGAGGAUUUUUGCAUCUAUUAAUUAAAUAAAAUUGGGAGAAACAGAGAAAUGAUGGAGACUGAAGAAAACAUUGUAACUGUUGGUGCUGGCAUAGCUGGUCUUGCUACUUCUUUGGCCCUUCACAGGUAAUAAUUGCUAUUCUAAAAUACUUGUUCAAUAAUUACAUCAUCUACUUCCAAAAGUUUGAUUUAGAAGGGCAUAUGCAUUUGAACGAGCAUUUAUGCCCUCCACUUUUAGAUGUGCAUAAGUAGUAAUACACUUAGGAUGCCAGGUAGAUGCAGAACUGUCACGUAGGAUGCCACAUGGGAUGGGUGUGUUUACUUAGCUUGUUCAACUUUUGAAUAAUUUAACAGUCUACUUGUACCGGCUCAAAGUUGGAUGACAUAGAUGUGGAGCAAAGUUAGAUGAUAUAUUUAUGUAUUAUGCCUCUCUAGAAUAUGAUAUUUAUGAUAUAAUAGCGCUAUUAGUUGAGUGACGAUUUGAGAAAUAACUCGAUGGAAGGCGUGUCUUGUAUGUAAUAUGUAGGUUGGGGCUGCGGAGUGUUGUGUUGGAAUCAGCAGAUUCGUUGCGAGCUACUGGAUUUGCAUUGGCAUUGUGGACUAAUGCCUGGAGAGCUUUGGAUGCAUUGGGCAUUGGGGGCUCUCUUAGACAACGUUCCUUAUCAAUUACUGGGUAAGCUUCCUCUUUAUUAUUAGUUAGGAUUUAGGAUUACUAAUUGAAGUUCAAUUUCGAAUUUUUAUGAGAUUUUGUGGUCAUAUGUGUUUUCCGGAGUUCUAGCUCUGGAAAAAAAAAGUUACUGAUUGUCCAAAAUGCAUUCGAGUUGAUGUGCAGGUUUAAAAGUUUCUCAGCGGAUUCAGGUGCACCUAUCAAGGAGGUAUCAUUUGUGGGGAAUAACAGGUUAGCAUUAUACCAAUUUUCAUAUUAGUUGGGGUCGGUUAUAUAAGUCCUUUCAUCUAUUCGUGUUUAUGUAUGUUCAUUUUGUUCCAACACUAGAUAAUCUAGCAUGUGAGACAAAUUAGGAAUUCUCUAAAAUUAGAGGUUUUUUGAGUAUCGCAAUCUAUAGAGAUGUAUAAAUUUCUAACCAUUGAUAUAAAGACUCCUCACAAACGUUGAAGUAAUGCAAACCUCCGAUUUUCACAACAUCGAUCUUCGUAGAGAACAAUCACAUUUGUUUACGAAGGACUUAAGUAUGAAUAGCAUAUUCAGAGGAUGCUACAUACCCAAUUUUUUGUAUUGUUCACAAGUACAGAGUGACGUGAUUUUAAUGUCCAAAUCCCUAUGAUUUCAACAAUGAAAUUAAGUUCAUUUUGAAUAACGUGGUUGAGUAUGUCUUCCUUCCGACUAUUGGAUGGACUGAUCAUUCGUCAGCCAACAUUUUUAUUUUUGAAGUCAAUAGUCAUCUAAAGUCAGUUAUAUUACGUUGCAGUGUGGAGUAUGAAAGUCGUUGUGUGAGGAGAAAAGAUCUGUUGGAGACAUUAGCUAAUGAACUGCCUCAAGGUGCGAUUAGAUAUUCUUCAAAGGUCGAUUCCAUUGAAGAAUCUGGACCAUUGAAAUUGGUACAUCUUGCAGAUGGUUCCACUAUUAGAACCAAGGUAAAUCUUUCUCUGAAAUCCGUAACUUGGAAUCCCUAUUAUUGGAAACUUCAACCAACGUGAUAAUUCAAACGUGUAUUUGACCAUUAUCUCAAUUCCUUUCGUUAGUCUAGUACGUGACUAACUUUGAUAAGCUUCAAUUAAGGCCUUAAUUGGGUGUGAUGGAGUCAAUUCUGUGGUGGCAAACUGGCUUGGNNNNNNNNNNNNNNNNNNNNNNNNNNNNNNNNNNNNNNNNNNNNNNNNNNNNNNNNNNNNNNNNNNNNNNNNNNNNNNNNNNNNNNNNNNNNNNNNNNNNNNNNNNNNNNNNNNNNNNNNNNNNNNNNNNNNNNNNNNNNNNNNNNNNNNNNNNNNNNNNNNNNNNNNNNNNNNNNNNNNNNNNNNNNNNNNNNNNNNNNNNNNNNNNNNNNNNNNNNNNNNNNNNNNNNNNNNNNNNNNNNNNNNNNNNNNNNNNNNNNNNNNNNNNNNNNNNNNNNNNNNNNNNNNNNNNNNNNNNNNNNNNNNNNNNNNNNNNNNNNNNNNNNNNNNNNNNNNNNNNNNNNNNNNNNNNNNNNNNNNNNNNNNNNNNNNNNNNNNNNNNNNNNNNNNNNNNNNNNNNNNNNNNNNNNNNNNNNNNNNNNNNNNNNNNNNNNNNNNNNNNNNNNNNNNNNNNNNNNNNNNNNNNNNNNNNNNNNNNNNNNNNNNNNNNNNNNNNNNNNNNNNNNNNNNNNNNNNNNNNNNNNNNNNNNNNNNNNNNNNNNNNNNNNNNNNNNNNNNNNNNNNNNNNNNNNNNNNNNNNNNNNNNNNNNNNNNNNNNNNNNNNNNNNNNNNNNNNNNNNNNNNNNNNNNNNNNNNNNNNNNNNNNNNNNNNNNNNNNNNNNNNNNNNNNNNNNNNNNNNNNNNNNNNNNNNNNNNNNNNNNNNNNNNNNNNNNNNNNNNNNNNNNNNNNNNUCAUCCCAUGACUCCUGAUCUUGGUCAAGGUGGAUGUUCUGCUUUAGAGGACAGUGUUGUUAUCGCAAAGUGCCUUGGAGAAGCCUUGAUAAAACCAAUAACAGAACAAGAAGACGAUGAAUCUAUGAAUAUUAGGAAAGGACUCGAGAAGUAUGCUAAAGAGAGAAGAUGGAGAAGUUUUACAUUUAUCAGUGCUGCUUAUUUAUCUGGUUUCAUACAAGAGAGUGAUAACAAGAUAAUCAGUUUCUUAAGACAACAUUUNNNNNNNNNNNNNNNNNNNNNNNNNUUUUGGCUGGAGUCACUAUAUCAGUUACACUAAGAAUAGCUAACUUCGACUGCGGAAGAUUAACUGUUUCUUAGUAGCUCAAUUGGAUCCUUUAGAAGCUAUGAAUAUCCUUUAUGGACUUUGUUUAAUAUCUAUCUAGCAUACAUGUUCUGGUUUAGUUAUGUCUAAGAAUUGUAAGACCGAAUCGGAUCCUUAUUUUGCAAUAAUAAAAUUGUGUCCUUCAUCAAAGAUAUCCAAUAACAUCAGUUGUUUAGAAGCAAAUAUGGUAAAAGCUGCAUUUUAUUAUUAUCAUGGAAAAACAGUGUAAAAGGUAAAUCUCUGAAGUAUAGAAUAAGUGUUUUCUUAUCUGAGAUCAUUUCGUGCAAUUAGAUACUACUCCCUCUGUUGCAACUUGUCUGUCUGGUUUUGACUUGACACGAAGUUUAAGAAAGUAAAGAAGACUUACAAUUAGAGAUAUGGACACGUAAUAUAUAUCCUGUAUAAUAAGUAAUGUUGGAAUAAUCUCAUGAAUAUUUUUUGUGGUCUAUGUAAGAACAUUGUUAUUUUUAGCAUUUGCUUCGACUACUGAUUUAGUUAUUUUCCAUCUCAUCAUAUUUGUCCUUUUUUUCCCCUGUAGUCUUUGAGGAAAUUGGCUUAAAGACUUGGAAGUUUUUUAAACAUCUAUUUCUACUACAACUACAUGGAUGUGAAAAGUCUUGUGGAAAAUUAUAGAAUAUGACUCACAAGUUUGAAAAAUUCCACACGGUAUCAAAAAUGUUACGUUUCGUCUAAGUAGAUGUAGGAGUUAAAUCAUGUCUUUAAUAAUUGUUAAUUUUUUAUUUUUCUCACUCCACUUAGUCAAGCAACAGUAUCUCUCAUUGGAAAUUUGUUACAAUUCUGCAGCAAAUGUUCUACCGUGUGUCUUACAUAAUGGGACCAAUUCACAUUGACUUAGGUGACACACUGCAGAGAUAGUCGAUAACCUUGAAAUGAAACAACAUUUAGAGAAAACAAAUAUGGAAUAAUUGGUACUAGCCACUAGGGGUGUACAUGAUCGGGUUGAUUUGAAUGUUCCAAAUAUCAAACCAAACUAUUUGUGUAAAAUUUUAAAUUUAUAAAUCAAACCAAACUAAUAAAAUUCAGAUUUUUUGGGGUUUUUCAACCUCGGGUUGGUUCGCGUUUUUCACUUGUGACUUGUUAACUGGUCAUGUUAUCGGAUUGGACCUUAGUUGCAGUUUGCUUUUGGGUACUAUUCAUCCCAAUAGCAGCAUCUUCCAGCUCCAUCAUCUCCGGACACUAAACCUUGCUUACAUGACUUCUAUUCUUCUUCAAUCCCACAUAACAUUGGCCGAUUGACGAAUUUGAGGCAUCUCAACCUUUCUGGUUCUUUCUUUGAAGGGGAAAUCCCAACAGAAAUAUCAUACCUUUCCUAUUUGGUUUCACUUGGACUUAAUUGUUAUGAAUGUGAACUUGAUGAGAGAACAUUUGAAACAAUUCAGAACUUCACAAAUCUAGAGGUACUAUCUCUCCAUGGUGUCAACAUCUCAUCUUCAAUACCUGUGCAUAUUUCUUCAUCCUCCUUAAGGUACAUGGAUCUUGGACAUACUAAUCUGCGAGGUGUUCUCACAGAGAGCUUUUUCCUUCUGCCAGGAUUGGAAAGGCUCUAUUUGAGUUCCAAUGAACUUCUCAAAGGAGUUUUACCAAAGAUCCACCCGAGCAACACUCUGUUGGAGUUGGAUAUUUCUAACACAGGAAUCUCCGGUGAGCUGCCUGAUUCAGUUGGCACCUUGAGUUCCUUGAAUAUCUUGAACCUCAAAGGAUGCCAAUUCUCUGGUUCCAUUCCUGAUUCCAUUGGCAAUCUUACACAAAUUAAGUAUUUGGAUUUCAGUAAUAAUCAUUUCACCAGCCAUAUUCCAUCCACAAUCUCUCAGUUGAAGCAGCUCACAUAUCUACAUCUUUCGUCCAACUCUUUUUCAGGUGAAAUUCCCGACAUCUUCUCUAACCUCCAAGAGCUAAGUUAUUUAUAUCUUGGUAACAACAGCUUCAUCGGUUCGUUUCCUUCUACAAUUGUAAGCUUGCCACAUCUACAAGACUUAGACUUGUCGAGUAAUUCCCUAUCUGGCCCACUGCCUAAUAAUGUGAGCAUGCUUCAAAAGCUAACCAAACUGAAUUUGUCCUACAACUCAAUGAAUGGUACCAUACCAUCUUCUGUGUUUAGCCUCCCUUUGCUAGGUCAGUUGUGGCUCGAUAACAAUAGAUUUAGUGGAUUACCCGAUGAGCUCAAAACAAACCCAACAUUAGCACGCCUGGAUUUAAGCCAUAAUCAACUCAGUGGUUCUUUUCUUCAAUCACUUUCGAAUCUCACAAACCUUUCUAUCCUUGACCUUUCAUCGAAUAACAUCACCGUCGAUGAGGGAAUACAAAUCACUUUUCCUAGCCUACAAGAUUUGUGGUUAUCAUCUUGUGAACUGAAGGAUUUUCCACACUUCUUGAGAAAUGUGAAGUCACUUUGGGUCUUGGAUAUUUCUAACAAUAAGAUUCGUGGCCAAAUCCCAAACUGGUUUAGCGGCAUGAGGUGGGACUACUUGUGGUACCUAAACCUUUCGCAUAAUUCUUUAACAGGCCACCUACAACAAUUUCAUUUCCAUAAUCUAUGGUAUCUUGAUCUUAAUUUAACUCCCUUCAGGGUCCACUCUCUUCAUCCAUUUGUAACAUGAUCAAGCUUGAAUUUCUGGAUUUAUCACGCAACAACUUCAGUAUCUCGAUUCCAAGCUGCUUGGGAAGCAUGUCUAGUCUAAAAGUGUUGGACUUAAGAAGGAGCAAUUUCACUGGGAAUCUUUCUCCAUUAUGUGCGAAGAGCACUUCAUUGAGUACCAUUGUCUUGAAUGACAAUCACUUUGAAGGAACUCUCCCUGUGUCGUUGCUCAACUGUAGCGGUUUAGAAGUUCUUGAUAUGGGGAAUAACGCUAUAAAUGACCUAUUUCCAUCUUGGCUAGGAACACUUCAAGAACUGCAGGUUCUAAUAUUAAAGUCCAAUGUGUUCCAUGGACCAAUUAGGACUUGUCAGACUACGUUUUGCUUUCCCAAGUUGAGAAUUUUUGAUCUCUCUCAUAAUGAAUUCAGUGGCUCACUUCCUGCAAAUUUUUUUGGAAACUUCAAGGCAAUGAUUAAAUUAGAGGGUGAAGACACAGGACAGAUUGAGUACAUGAAACCACACGAAAAUACAAUUUACACAUCGUAUGACGAUUCUGUGAGUUUGGUGAUCAAAGGCCAGGAUGUUGUGCUAGAAAGAAUCAGCACAAUUAUGACAACCAUAGACCUCUCGAGCAACCAUUUUGAAGGUGUCAUUCAGCAAACACUAAAGGAUCUCAGCUCACUUUGGCUUCUCAAUUUAUCCCAUAACAAUCUCACAGGUGAUAUUCCAAUGGAAUUGGGGAAAUUGAAUACGCUUGAAGCGUUAGAUCUCUCUUGGAAUAGGCUCACUGGAAAGAUUCCGCAGGAAUUGACAAGAAUGAAUUUUCUGGCCUUCUUAAACCUCUCUCAUAAUCUUCUUAUUGGACCAAUUCCUCAAGGUCCACAAUUCAACACAUUUGAAAAUGACUCGUAUGGCGGUAACCUUGAUUUAUGUGGUCCUCCUUUAUCAAAGCAAUGUGGAACGAGUGAUCCAUCACAUGCUCCUCAACCAUUGGACUCUGAAGAAGAUGAAGACGAGUCAUAUUUUUUAAGUGGAUUUACUUGGGAAUCAGUAGUCAUAGGCUACAGUU
rnacentral:lncRNA from 1 species